rnacentral:rRNA from 2 species
GAUGAACGCUGGCGGCGUGCCUAAAACAUGCAAGUCGAGCGGUAAGGCCUCUUCGGAGGUACACGAGCGGCGGACGGGUGAGUAACACGUGGGAAUCUACCCCAAACUGAGGGAUAAGCACCGGAAACGGUGUCUAAUACCGCAUAUGGUCUUCGGAUUAAAGCUUCGGCGGUUUGGGAAGAGCCCGCGUAAGAUUAGCUAGUUGGUGAGGUAAAGGCUUACCAAGGCGACGAUCUUUAGCUGGUUUGAGAGGAUGAUCAGCCACACUGGAACUGAGACACGGUCCAGACUCCUACGGGAGGCAGCAGUUAGGAAUUUUCCACAAUGGGCGCAAGCCUGAUGGAGCAACGCCGCGUGCAGGAUGAAGGUUUUCGGAUUGUAAACUGCUUUUAUGUGCGAAGAAUAUGACGGUAACACAUGAAUAAGGAUCGGCUAACUCCGUG